AGAACGAACGCUGGCGGCAUGCCUAAUACAUGCAAGUCGAACGAACUCUUCGGAGUUAGUGGCGCACGGGUGCGUAACGCGUGGGAAUCUGCCCCUUGGUUCGGAAUAACAGUUGGAAACGACUGCUAAUACCGGAUGAUGACGAAAGUCCAAAGAUUUAUCGCCAAGGGAUGAGCCCGCGUAGGAUUAGCUAGUUGGUGAGGUAAAGGCUCACCAAGGCAACGAUCCUUAGCUGGUCUGAGAGGAUGAUCAGCCACACUGGGACUGAGACACGGCCCAGACUCCUACGGGAGCAGCAGUAGGGAAUAGUUGGACAAGUGGGCGAAAGCUAGAUCCAGCAAUGCCGACGUGAGUGAGUGGAAGGUCGUUAGGUUAGUAAAGUCUUCUUUACCCGAG
rnacentral:rRNA from 1 species